rnacentral:rRNA from 1 species
CCCUACGGGGCGCAGCAGUCGGGAAUAUUGCGCAAUGGAGGAAACUCUGACGCAGUGACGCCGCGUGCAGGAAGAAGGUUUUCGGAUUGUAAACUGCUUUAGACAGGGAAGAUACAAGACAGUACCUGUAAAAUAAGCUCCGGCUAACUACAUGCCAGCAGCCGCGGUAAUACGUAUGGGGCAAGCGUUAUCCGGAUUUACUGGGUGUAAAGGGAGCGCAGGCGGCUUGGCAAGUCUGAUGUGAAAGGCUGGGGCUCAACCCCAGGACUGCAUUGGAAACUGUUAGGCUGGAGUGUCGGGGAGGG